rnacentral:rRNA from 1 species
GACAGAGGUGCCGAGCGUUAGGCGGAAUCACUGGGCUUAAAGCGUGUGUAGGCGGCGGCCUAAGUACCUUGUGAAAUCCCACGGCUUAACCGUGGAACUGCUUGGUAUACUGGGUCGCUUGAGACACCUAGGGGCGAGCGGAACAAGUGGUGGAGCGGUGAAAUGCGUAGAUAUCACUUGGAGCGCCAAUGGUGAAAACAGCUCGCUGGGGGUGC